GUCCGCACUGUAAACGAUGAUUACUCGCUGCUAGAGGGCAACUUUUAGUGGCUUAGCGAAAGCGAUAAGUAAUCCACCUGGGGAGUACGCCGGCAACGGUGAAACUCAAAGGAAUUGACGGGGGCCCCGCACAAGCGGAGGAGCAUGUGGUUUAAUUCGAUGAUACGCGAGGAACCUUACCAGGGCUUGAAAGUUAGGGAAUGGAUCUGAAAGGAUUCAGUCAGCAAUGACCCGAAACUAGGUGCUGCAUGGCUGUCGU
rnacentral:rRNA from 1 species